AGGUAACAUAGGACAGCUGAUUCUGCCCCCACUGCCACCCAACCUCAGUUCUGUUAGCUAAGUGAUAAAAGAUACCACUCCUAUCUCCCCUCUCUCUCUUCACUUCACUUCACUUUGCUCGCUACCCUUUGCCACCACCACCUCCUCCUCCUCCGCCUCUCUCUCUUUUUCUCUCUCUCUCUCUCUCUCUCUCUCUCUAGAAAUAUGAACAUGAAGAGAAGGGUGAAGAUGAGGAGGGGUUUCAUGUGCCAGUACCCGGGGUCAGCAGCAGGGUGCACGACCGGAGACCCUCUGUCCGUUAUAGUGCCGCGGCGGCCGGACCGAACCCUAGUCGACCGUGCUAAUGCAUUGGCGCUCGACAACAGUACUAGUGCCAAGUACGCUCGGUUAGUUGAGUCAACUCCUCAAAGACUCGGUAACAAUGCUGCUGCCAAAAUGAAAUUAACUAAUUCCGUUCCAAUGCCGCCGGUUGUCAAAAGGAGGCCCGGCGGUGAUCAUAAGAAUACAGGCGUGGUCGGAGACAGAAAGGCCCUCCAGAAACCAGCUCCAGCAGUGGCUUCAUCUGCAGACCAAGUCUUUCAGGUUGUGGUUAUGAGAGUCUCUCUCCAUUGCCAAGGCUGUGCUGGUAAAGUGAAGAAACAUAUAUCCAAGAUGGAAGGGGUGACAUCGUUCAGCAUAGAUUUGGAGAGCAAGAGGGUGACAGUGAUGGGACACGUGUCACCGGUGGGAGUGCUGGAGAGCAUAUCAAAGGUGAAAAGAGCAGAGUUCUGGCCCUGCUGAGCUGAUUAUGGAGUUGGAUUUUUAGUUUAAUAUUAUGGAUAGUCUUGUUUUGCGUGUUCGACUUGCAUUACUUUUGAACCCAGGCAAGUUGGAGAGUUAGGAAAGGACUCUGGCGGCAUCUCGGAGAUUCCGUUUGUUGACCUCCUUAGAGUGUCUCAUCCUAGCUUAGUGUUUUAUUUCAUCGCUUCCGCAUUGAAAUAUUUUGUCAAACAUCUGGAUUCUUUUAUUACUGUUGGAUCGCUGGAUUUUAUUUUGUUCAUGGGAUGUUUGUGCCCCAUUAUUUUUAUGAAAUUUAUUGGUUGAGGAUGUUUAGAAAAAAUAAAAAAACGGUUGACUGAUUGGUGGAUC